CGAGGGUGGGAUCCUGUUGCUGCUCCAGUAACAGAAGGAAGUAGAAGUCAAGGACUUUACAAGCCCCUGGCAACUUCUCACUGGAUAGGAUUAUCACAUGACAAGACCGUCAGACCCUGGAUGUGGAGGAAUGGCACAACUUUCUCCAUCGACAUCAAUCACAGAAGAAAAUUCAAAUAUGAGGAUAACAUUGGUCAGACUAAAAAUACCUUUUGGGGGAAAUAUUUUAAAGGUGUUCUUUAAAGAUGGCAUCUCACAAUCCCCAUCUUGAUGGCUCUGGUCAGCAGUUUCAACUCCACUGCUCUGCAAUCAGGUAAACACCUUCUUCCCCUCCCCCUUUAAAGCCCCAGGAAUUUUUGAAAUCCUACUUCCUGUUUCCUCAGCGUGGGAGCUCACAUUGCAUCCUUCCAGAUGACCAUGGCAGCAUGGGGGGCAUGUGAACUGCAGGCUCAGGGAGGCUACCCCCAGCCCUGCCCCUUCUGCCCAAAGCCCUGCCAGAGCAAAGCCCCCACCCCACCAGAGCCCAGAGCUGCCCCCUCCACUGGCCCAGUCCCACAGCUAGCCCCCCUGCUCCAAAGGAGGGCCAGGAAGGCAGGCGGUCCAUGGAUCCAGCCCUGGAGCAUGGAAUGGUGGGUGGCAUGCGAUCCCAGCCCCCCUGGUUCUGGAGCACAGGAAGGCGGGUGGCACACGGCCCCAGUCCCCCAGCUCCAGAGCACAGGAAGGAAAAUGGCAUGCGGCCCCAGAGCACAGGAAGAUGAGCACUGUGUGGCCCCAGCACGAGCGUAAGAGAGGAGGGAUAGCUCAGUGGUUUGAGCAUUGGCUUGCUAAACCCAGUGUUGUGAGUUCAAUCCUUGAGGGGACCAUUUAGGGUUCUGGGGCAAAAAUC